CCGAGCAGCUGGGGCGUUAGCGGUGCCCUGUACCAACAGUCCGCUACAGUUGGAGUGAUAUCCGGCCCCGGGUUUUUGAUUGCGGAGCUGCCCUUUAUAAGUGGCGUUGAUGUUUGGGUCUUACGCAAUAGGACUCUGUGAACCAGGUCAGGUCAGGAAUGAAGCAGCCUUAAGCAGAACCCCCUAUGUGCCGUGAGGGUGCCUGGGCUGAGUUAACUGUAGAGGUAACGUCCGGGGUCAUGACUCAAAGCCGGAUGCUCGG
rnacentral:SRP_RNA from 1 species